GUCACAGAAAUAUCCAAAAUACCAUUUCAAAUCGUGCUGAAAUAGAAUUCAGGUCUGAUUAUACAACCAAGCACGCUGAAGUAACCAAACUAAUCAUAAACAUUACAGUAGGCUGGUUUGUGUACUGGAAGCCCUUCCAUCUUCAGGGAGUUGGCACGCAUGUGCGUGCUAUUGACCUGUAAUUAUCAGAGGCCUGGCAGAUGUGUGCACGCCACGUGCCACCCACCUUCAGCCAACUCUUCAUUCAUCAUCUUCUCUUCACGUCCACUUCCGGUUCCACGCCAAAUGUCUUCUUUCUCUUCAUUUCUCCUUGAAAACAGGGCCCAGCACCAAGAUUCAUCCUACAAAGAAAAGCCAGAGAAACUUAGCAUAGAUUCAAGUUAAGUCACCUACAAAAUCAUAAGAUUUAAGGUUCAAAUAAGUGUAAAAUUUACACUUAUCAAUUAUCUCAUUCAGUUCUGAUUGUAAUUAGACGCAAAAUUACCUUGUUGAAGACCUUCCUUUUGUAUCCCUAGCUUUGUUGUAUAUAUUGAGGCAUUGUAUAUCGAAGAUAACAUAAGAAUAGGAAUUAUUUUCUAAAAUAUCCACUGGCGAAGUGUUUUUCCUUUGGUAUCAAAAGAAGCCAAAAUAUCUUGGACUUGGGCCUUAAUAGAUGUUAGUGUCCGGAUUUGUUAUUUAGCCAUUUAGGGAGAUUGGGUCGGUGAUUUCUCUCUAAUAAGUAGUGUCAAUAAUAGAAAGUUGUUUUCUAUAUUUUGGUAGUGCCUAUUGAUAUGAUGCGAUUAGAUUGCUUCCAGAUUUUUUGUAUUUUCUCAUGUCUUACUUUUGUAUAGUAGCUGGUUCGCAUUCUGUUGUGAUGCUCUCUAUCAAGCAUGUGUAAUCCUCG
rnacentral:lncRNA from 1 species